AUGUUACAAUAUUCUCUUUGGCAAGGGUUGCAUAACCUCAUAGUAUUGUGGGAUUCCAGUACUCUUUGUGCACACAACAGUACAUUUAAUUACAUAUAUAUUGAGCAGAAUGAACAACACAAAUCAAACAAAGUUAUGAUACAUACAAGGGGGACAAAAGAAGACCCGAAAUUGCAGCUCAAACACUCAACUAAUGAGAAGUGCAGAAAAUGA